AUUCCAGCUCCAAUAGCGUAUAUUUAAGUUGUUGCAGUUAAAAAGCUCGUAGUUGGAUUUCGGGUGAGGAUGACCGGUCUGCCGUUGCGGUACGCACUGGACGUUUUCAUCUUGUUGUCGGGGACGCGCUUCUGGGCUUCACUGUUCGGGACGCGGAGUCGGCGCUGUUACUUUGAAAAAAUUAGAGUGUUCAAAGCAGGCAAUCGCUCUGAAUACAUUAGCAUGGAAUAACGCUAUAGGACUCUGGUCCUAUUGUGUUGGUCUUCGGGACCGGAGUAAUGAUUAAGAGGGACAGUUGGGGGCAUUCGUGUUUCAUUGUCAGAGGUGAAAUUCUUGGAUUUAUGAAAGACGAACUUCUGCGAAAGCAUUUGCCAAGGAUGUUUUCAUUA
rnacentral:rRNA from 1 species